GUGCUUGCACUCUGUGAAACAAGAUACAGGCUAGCGGCGGACGGGUGAGUAACACGUGGGUAACCUGCCCAAGAGAUCGGGAUAACACCUGGAAACAGAUGCUAAUACCGGAUAACAACAGAUGAUGCCUAUCAACUGUUUAAAAGAUGGUUCUGCUAUCACUCUUGGAUGGACCUGCGGUGCAUUAGCUAGUUGGUAGGGUAACGGCCUACCAAGGCGAUGAUGCAUAGCCGAGUUGAGAGACUGAUCGGCCACAUUGGGACUGAGACACGGCCCAAACUCCUACGGGAGGCAGCAGUAGGGAAUCUUCCACAAUGGACGCAAGUCUGAUGGAGCAACGCCGCGUGAGUGAAGAAGGGUUUCGGCUCGUAAAGCUCUGUUGUUGGUGAAGAAGGACAGGGGUAGUAACUGACCUUUGUUUGACGGUAAUCAAUUAGAAAGUCACGGCUAACUACGUGCCAGCAGCCGCGGUAAUACGUAGGUGGCAAGCGUUGUCCGGAUUUAUUGGGCGUAAAGCGAGUGCAGGCGGCUCGAUAAGUCUGAUGUGAAAGCCUUCGGCUCAACCGGAGAAUUGCAUCAGAAACUGUCGAGCUUGAGUACAGAAGAGGAGAGUGGAACUCCAUGUGUAGCGGUGAAAUGCGUAGAUAUAUGGAAGAACACCGGUGGCGAAGGCGGCUCUCUGGUCUGUUACUGACGCUGAGGCUCGAAAGCAUGGGUAGCGAACAGGAUUAGAUACCCUGGUAGUCCAUGCCGUAAACGAUGAGUGCUAAGUGUUGGGAGGUUUCCGCCUCUCAGUGCUGCAGCUAACGCAUUAAGCACUCCGCCUGGGGAGUACGACCGCAAGGUUGAAACUCAAAGGAAUUGACGGGGCCCGCACAAGCGGUGGAGCAUGUGGUUUAUUUCGAAGCACGCGAAGAACCUUACCAGGUCUUGACAUCCAUAGCCAGUCUAA
rnacentral:rRNA from 1 species